GUCUUCUUCUCCACCCGUCCCCACGCCUCCUCCCCAGUCCCAGUCCUGAAGUGCAGAAGGUCCUGGUCUUCUAAUAUGAAUCUUCACAGGUGGCAUGGUCCUUUAAUUCAGUGGUUUAGCUCCCUAAACUAAAUUCCCAGUACCUUACCCAUAUUGUCCCAUCUAUAUUCUGCCUUGCUUGUUUUGGGCCUCUUAUAUUUCUUGUAUCGAUCAUAAAGAUUCUUGUGGCAUCUUAAGGACCAACCAAUGCGCAAUACACUUGAGUAGACUGGUAUCUACUCCAUCAAAUACGUCUAAUCAAUUGUAUUUGCUACUAACAUCUCCUUUGUAGGGCAUACCUUUUAAAACUAAGCACCUGCUUCAUAAAGAAUUACAGAAGCGACAGACUCUUCCUUUCCUUCUCAACCAAUAUGCUUGUGGGACUUCUAACUAUUGACAGAACACUCGAGAGAAAUAAGUAAAUCAUAAACACCAUCUCUGCUAUGUGACUGAGCAAUGCCAGCCUUCAUUUUCCGACUUGGUGCAUUAUCUGAGGCACAACUAAGGAAAUGAAAGAGAGAAAUGCAUUUAUCUAGAUGAUGUUGCGAACAUAUUAGGGAACAGGGGCAUAUAUGGAAGAAGCCUCAUGUGUUAGCCUUUCACUCAUGAAUGACAACUUCAAGAUGAGAUUAUACUCACAAGAGGACUACCAAACCACCAUGUCCCAGCCAAGCCUUGUUAUCCAGAUCCCCUGGUGAUAUCCGGUUAUAUAAAUACCUAAAGACAUGAGUGGGGUGGGGACCAAAGAGCUGCAUAUCCAAAAUCCUCUACAAAAUUCUCCCACCCCUGGCCAUAUGGAGCAGAUACCUUCGGCUGCAUUUGGAAGGAAUCACUCUUUCCCCCACACUGGGUAUCUACACCUCUCAGCAAAGUUCUGAGCUACCUCUGUGUGCUACCUCUGUGCAGCACUUUCAGGGGGCUGGAAGGGCUGCGAUGCAGAGAAGGAGUUUCCCCGGCCCAGUGCAUAAAUUCCAAUCUAAAUCAUAGGUUCAGACCACAUAUUCCGACAAGCUGAACCAAGAUGGACUUUGGGAUAGCUCUCUUCUUUCCAGACGUUACCAGUUGACCAGCCAUAUGUCAUCUCCACUGCUGGGAUCAGCAAGCAGUGAAUCCUAGAAAUUAGCCCUCUCUAAAAAAAAGGAACUGACCAGCCACACGCUUCAUCUCGAUCAAGGGGGCACUCAGAGAAGGAAAGCCAGCGCACAGGAAGACUGCUAUUGGAGAAAGCCUUCCUCAGAGUACCUCCACUCUGAGCUCUCAGUACCUACCAACAGUUUGAACUGGACUUGGGAGCAACCAGGAAACUCCAAGGCAAAUUCUGGACAGUCCUCUUUCUAUUUAUUGUUUUCCUUCUUUGUAUUCUGGGGGAGUAUUUUCCUCCUGCCUCUUGGGAAAUCGGAACUAGUUUCUUCCUUUCUCACUCUCAAGGGCGACCAUCUCUCUCAGAAAGAAAAGUGCACCUGUUGACUCAUUGUAAUGCUGGCAACUGUAAUUGGCCAUAGCACGGCAAUGAGACUUCCCUCAAUACAAAACCGGGCAAAAGGCAAGAUUUCCAGCUAGUAUGAACCCCGUAUUCAUGCCACAUCUGCAGCAAGGAAGAUGAGCAACAGCCUAGAUCAUACACAAAAGUUUAUCUAUCACAGCAGCAAUUACAAAGAGCCCCUUCCACUACUGUUGCAAAGCUUCGACCAGUGACCCUGUCCUGGGCUGGAAAUGACCAGUAUAGCUGGACUGUCAAUGAAGUUCUCAUAAGCCUUUAGUUUGGAAGGCACAAUCUGAAUGCAGUCAACGCUGGAGGUGGCUGAAGCUCAGUCUUGUCCUGCUUAUGAACUAUUUUUUGCUCAUCUUUAGGCCCAUUUAGAGGUUACAUCAACAACAUGACUUAUAGCCACACUGGGAAAUGGAGUUCUCCUACAUGUGCAGUGGAAAUUACUCUGCUUCUUCUCCUGCUCCAACACAACCUAGGACUUGAAAACUUCAUAGGCAAGCAAAUUCUAAUUCCCAUUUAAACUGCUGCAGCUACUGUUACAAGUUGGCCGAGUCUCUCUCUCUCCCCCACCCCCGAAAAUGCCCCUCGAACCAUUUUUGCUGCAGUUUUCCCCAAAGGGAUGUGGUACCUCUGCUGGGUGGGAAUAAAAUGCCAGUUUGCAAAUGUAGCAGAAAUUAUGAAGGCUUUUUUUUUGCAAACAAUACUAAUUCAAGUGUUCAAGUGGAUAGGGAGCAGCUUACACCUUUGAAAAUCCCCCCUCUUUGCAGAUAUAAAAUUGACUUGUCAGGAAUCAGGGUUCAAACUAAUUUUACUGAGCAGCAGAGAAAAAAGCAAGUGAAAUUCUUCCAUGCCUACAAUCCGGAACGUUAUUGCUGGUGUUGUUUCAUCCUUUCUGUCAUACACUGAAGAUGAAUUGCAAUUCAGUGAAACAUUUUCUACUCAUUAGACAUAAGAUGAAUAAACAAGCUCAUUGUGGUCAUUAUGAUUUAGGCUGGGUGUUCCAUAUUUCUCAUUUAAGCCUCUUCAAGAAUACCCAACACUAUGAAACAGAACCAUGACCUGAAAAUACAGCAAACACAUUUAACGUCAACACAAUGCCCUUUGCAUCCUCCACUUAAUUGCAAGUUUGCUAUCUUUCCAAACAAAGCUGCUUUUCCCUCAUCUCAAAUUCCAGCCUUGUGAUUCUGCAAUAAUAAAUCAAUGCGCUUUCAGAGGUAUUUUAUUGCAAUGUGUAUGAGAAAGUAUGUUUAGACUUCCUGGCCUUCUCAUCACCGAGUCAGCCCAUUUAUCCAUUCCAGGUCAAAUCAGGAAAAAAUAAUAAUGCGCCAGACUGCGUGCAAGUGUAAUGGAGUAAGAAUCUGAACUGUUUAUUAAAGCUUUGUUUUUGCACAUGAAUUUGGACUGAGAUGGGACAAUAGCUCAUUUGAAAGACCUCUCCCUGUUUUGUCAUUUGAUACGUCCCCUUUCCAGGCACCAUGGCUCCUCCGAUCCCAUUUCUUCAUUCUGAAAAGCGGUACAGAUAAGAACGCGCCUAUGUCUUCCGAGUGCCUUCGCCAAUACGCUCCCUGCCAUCCCCUGCCAUCCCCUGCACAGCAUUCCAUGUGGACGCUGCACAAACAUGGGUGGAGCCUCUUCUGUGGUCAUUCCACCAGCGAGAAGGUGCUUCCCGGUGGGACCCACUUGACCCCCGACUGAUCUUGUCUUCACUUGAUAGCAGAACAUUUUUAAUUAGGAAGAUCUUCCUUGGAUACUGAAUUGAUGGACAUGUGGCUGAGGCUUUAAUCCUGCUGCUCCUGGGUAUUAAAAUGCAUGUCCAAUUUGAUUAUCUCUUUCAGUAAUUAUUAUUCUUUAUGUAACAGGGAUUGCUUUAAUUAUAGCUAUCAUCUAUUAGUUAAUGUCAUACCCUGUGGCUAAAGUGAGACUUGUGUUUCUAAAAUAAAACAAAACCAUAGCCAGUGGCCCA